CGAGACCGCAGGGUGGUGAUCCCACUUGCUGGAGGCAAAAAGAAGGACAGCAGCGGGGCCAGGAACAAGAACCUCAACUUCCCCGAGGCCAUGCCAUCCACCCAGCACCGGUCUGGAUCUCUGCUGAGAACCUUUUUGUCCAUAGCAAUGAUCUCAUCCAUGCCCUAAAUUACACAGGUGAUUUCCUGUGUCUGCAGAGAUACUGAUGGUAUCUUUUCGGCUGGGUGGAGUCCAGGGUAUUCUCUUGUCUCACAUGCCAUCCAGAAACAUCAAGGGGUAAGAGCGAUACCGCUGCUGAGUGGCCUUAGCUGUCAUCAGUGAUGCUAUGACUAUUCCUUGUGCGAGCAGGUUACAGCUAAGGAAAAACAAGGUGUGAGGGCUGUGUUUAUUUCACUGUAUUUUAAUGAAGAAAUUGGAGCUGCUGUCAUCAUUACCCGUGGGCGCACCAGCUACAAAUCAACACUCAAAUAAAUGAACUAAAUGACGUGAUGUCAACUUCAUAUUCACAGAAAACGACUUGGUCAGAACACAGGCUGAAUGCUCUAUAAUGGACUUCCUUGCCUUCCUUCCCUUCGUCUGACAAUCAUGUUGUGCAUUGGCCUGGAGGACUCCCGGGAGUUUGAAGGACACACUGAUUUAUUCAUUGUUGUAGUGCCGCAUUAAUGAAGGGCACUGGUCUUUCCAACUCGGUAGGUUCCCUGGACUUGAUGAAACUUGCAUAAAAGCAUGGGGAGGAUUCCUCUCCUGCACUUCUGCUACUCCUCUGCUUCAUCAAAUAGCUCCUGCAUUAGGUGCUCUGCAAAAUAUUAGUGCAAUUAGUGAUUUACAUUUAUAUAAAUUUGACAGUGACCCGUGAUAAGAGAAUGAUACUAAAGCAUCUUGCUGAUGCUACUUUUUUUCUAGGAGGGUUAUUUCCCAAUAUCUUACUCCAUCCUGACCCAGCAGUAAUGAUGUCAAUGAAAAUUUUCCUUUUGAUGUGAGAGGGAGCAGGAAAAAACUCACCCUUAGAUUCUUUACACAAGCCUGGCUCUCAUUAAAGUUACUGGAAAUAAAUAUAUGUGUCCAGUUGGUAUACA
rnacentral:lncRNA from 1 species